rnacentral:rRNA from 1 species
CCUACGUGAGGCAGCAGUGAGGAAUAUUGGUCAAUGGGCGGAAGCCUGAACCAGCCAAGUCGCGUGAGGGAUGAAGGUCCUAUGGAUCGUAAACCGCUUUUGCCGGGGAGUAAGGCCCUCCACUUGUGGCGGGCAGGAGAGUCCCCGCAGAAAAAGCAUGGCCUAAGUCCGUGCCAGCAGCCGCGGUAAUACGGAGGCCGCGAGCGUUAUCCGGAUUUAUGGGGUUUAAAGGGUGCGUAGGCGGAAGGUUAAGUCAGCGGUAAAAUGCCGGUGCUCAACACCGGCCUGCCGUUGAAACUGGUCGUCUUGAGUGAGCAAGAGGUAUGCGGAAUGCGUGGUGUAGCGGUGAAAUGCAUAGAUAUCACGCAGAACUCCGAUUGCGAAGGCAGCAUGCCGGCGCUCAACUGACGCUGAGGCACGAAGGUGUGGGGAUCGAACAGGAUUAGAUACCCGGGUAGUC